rnacentral:snoRNA from 1 species
ACCUGCAUUCGAAAGUGAUCGCGGCCUCUUCCGUGGCCCGGUCAUCGAUAGUGCAGGGAGAGGAACGGCGAGAGCCUUCCCGUGUUUGGGGGGGGGCGGAAAAAACCUGGUGCUGUCGGACA